GCUGCUGGUGGUGGCCAGAGUAGGUUGGAUCUCCAAAUACCCAGCAGCGAAGUAUGAAGUAUGUGUCCUGCUUUCCUGGAACUUUCCUUUAACUGGCAUUUAAAUGUAGUUCACAGAACGAAUGCGUAGGAAACAAAGACAAUAUUUCACACCUUUAGUGUCAUUUCAACUACAGAACGGUGCUCCUAACACAGUGUAAGAGGACAAGCUGAAAAGCACAGCCUCUUCUAUUUCUCGGAAUCCCCGGCAGCUCCUGGAGAUUCCAGCUCCCACCCCAGGCAGAAGCCUGCAGACGCUCGCGGGCGCCACCACCCGGCGGAUGUGUUUGUUGCCGCUCUGCUCUUUGAUGGACAGAUGUGGGCGCUCACUGUGACCCUGUGGUCUGCCUUCCAGAAGCAGAGUUGCAUAACCGACCGUCAUCCAGUUACCCUUCGCAGUACCUGAGAGUCUUUCGGCUGUGAGAAAGAAGCCAUGUGAGGAUAGGACAGCAUCUGGGAACAAUGACCACUUCAUAUUCCUGUGUAUGGAUCCUGGGUACAAGCAGAGAACUGUAGAUGUUUCCCCUGGAUAUAUGAAUAUCAGCAUUUUUUAUUUUUAUAAAAGUCUGUUCAAAAAAGUAAAUUUAUAAAUUAAAUAAAAAAUAUGUCUUCGUUGAAGAAAGAUGGUAUAGGUAGGGGAUAUAGCAAGGAUGGUGGGCCCUGACCUUUGCCUGUGAGAUCCUGACACUAAUUCCCGAAUCCCACCUGGGGAUUCCGAUUCAGGGGGCUCCAGGAAGCCGGCAGCGAGGGAGCAAAGCACCGUGCUCUCUGUGAGGCCCGCAGUAACUCCACACCUGAGGGCUGUGGCCUCCCAGUUAGUUCUUGGUGCAGUCCUCGGAGGCAGACGGGAGCAAGGAACCAGUGGUUGGGUGAAAGCCAGCAACAUUUGAAACUUUUCGUCAGUGAAUUUCCUGAUCAAUAUGAAGAAAAGUGAUUGGAGAGGAAGUAUGGAGAAGAAGGCUCAUUUUUCAUAUUACCUCGGUUAUGGUUCUGGGGAAGACUCUGACAUCUACUUCAAGUCCAAACAAGAUGAGCUUACCUCUGACGAAGACCUCCUCAGUGAGCCUUAAGCGUGCUGUCUCCAUUGUGUCCACCAGAGGGCAACGUGCCCAUGUUUCUGUAGAGAAAGGAAGCGCUCGAAACCUCUCGUAUCAUUUU